rnacentral:rRNA from 1 species
UACGGGGGGAGCAAGCGUUGUUCGGAUUUACUGGGCGUAAAGCGCGUGUAGGCUGCUUCGCAAGUCGGAUGUGAAAGCCCUGGGCUCAACCCAGGAAGUGCAUUCGAAACUGCAGAGCUGGAGUCCUGGAGAGGAAGGCGGAAUUCUCGGUGUAGAGGUGAAAUCCGUAGAUAUCGAGAGGAACACCGGUGGCGAAGGCGGCCUUCUGGACAGUGACUGACGCUGAGACGCGAAAGCGUGGGGAGCAAACAGG